CUACGGGAGGCUGCAGUGGGGAAUAUUGCACAAUGGAGGAAACUCUGAUGCAGCAACGCCGCGUGGAGGAUGACACUUUUCGGAGCGUAAACUCCUUUUAUAUAGGAAGAAGAUGACGGUACUAUAUGAAUAAGCGCCGGCUAACUCCGUGCCAGCAGCCGCGGUAGUACGGAGGGCGCAAGCGUUACUCGGAAUCACUGGGCGUAAAGAGCGUGUAGGCGGAUUAAAAAGUCAGAAGUGAAAUCCUAUAGCUUAACUAUAGAACUGCUUCUGAAACUCUUAAUCUAGAAUAUGGGAGAGGUAGAUGGAAUUUCUGGUGUAGGGGUAAAAUCCGUAGAGAUCAGAAGGAAUACCGAUUGCGAAGGCGAUCUACUAGAACAUUAUUGACGCUGAGACGCGAAAGCGUGGGGAGCAAACAGGAUUAGAUACCCGGGUAGUC
rnacentral:rRNA from 1 species